rnacentral:ncRNA from 1 species
CUUAUCAAGAGCGGCGGAGGGAACAGGCCCUGUGAAGCCCGGCAACCUGCAAGUGUGUAAGGUGCCAAAUCCUGCGGGAAACCGAAAGAUAAG